GUCUUUUUGAUUUCUUUAUUUAAAGUCUAAUCUGCUCACUGAAUUUAUAUUUAAAGAGCCGCAGUAUUUUAACUGUGCAAAGGUAGCAUAAUAAUUUGUUUUUUAAUUGAAAACUAGAAUGAAUGAUUGAACGAGAUAUAUUCUGUCUCAAUUUUAAUUUAAUAUAAAUUAAUUUUUUAGUUAAAAAGCUAAAAUUAAUCUAAAAGACGAGAAGACCCUAUAGAUUUUUAUAUAAUUAUUGAUUAAUUUAUAUAUCUAUAAAUGUAAAUAUAUUUAUUAAUAAUUAUAUUUUAUUGGGGUAAUAAAAAAAUUAAAAAAACUUUUAUUAAAUAAAAACAUAAAUUAAUGAAAAUUUGAUCCAAAUUUAAUGAUUAAAAGAUUAAAUUACCUUAGGGAUAACAGCGUAAUUUUAAUUUUAAGUUCUUAUUGAAAUUAAAGAUUGCGACCUCGAUGUUGGAUUAAGAAAAAUUUUAAAAGUAGAUUUUUAAAUUUUAGGUCUGUUCGACCUUUAAAAUCUU
rnacentral:rRNA from 1 species